rnacentral:rRNA from 1 species
GAACGUACGCUGGCGGCACGCCUAACACAUGCAAGUCGAACGAAGUAGCAAUACUUAGUGGCAGACGGGUGAGUAACAUGUAGGUAUCUGCCCUUUGGCCUGGAAUAACACGAGGAAACUUGUGCUAAUACCGGAUAAGUCUUUACGGAGAAAGCUUUAUGCACCAUUGGAUGAGCCUGCACUUGAUUAGUUUGUUGGUGGGGUAAUGGCCUACCAAGACUGUGAUCAAUAGCUGAUUUGAGAGGAUGAUCAGCCACAUUGGGACUGAGACACGGCCCAAACUCCUACGGGAGGCAGCAGUGGGGAAUCUUGCACAAUGGAGGAAACUCUGAUGCAGCGAUGCCGCGUGAGUGAAGAAGGCCCUUGGGUUGUAAAGCUCUUUCGUCGGGGAAGAAAAUGACUGUACCCGAAUAAGAAGGUCCGGCUAACUUCGUGCCAGCAGCCGCGGUAAUACGAAGGGACCUAGCGUAGUUCGGAAUUACUGGGCUUAAAGAGUUCGUAGGUGGUUGAAAAAGUUAGUGGUGAAAUCCCAGAGCUUAACUCUGGAACUGCCAUUAAAACUUUUCAGCUAGAGUAUGAUAGAGGAAAGCAGAAUUUCUAGUGUAGAGGUGAAAUUCGUAGAUAUUAGAAAGAAUACCAAUUGCGAAGGCAGCUUUCUGGAUCAUUACUGACACUGAGGAACGAAAGCAUGGGUAGCGAAGAGGAUUAGAUACCCUCGUAGUCCAUGCCGUAAACGAUGUGUGUUAGACGUUGGAAAUUUAUUUUCAGUGUCGCAGGGAAACCGAUAAACACACCGCCUGGGGAGUACGACCGCAAGGUUAAAACUCAAAUGAAUUGACGGGGACCCGCACAAGUAGUGGAGCAUGUGGUUUAAUUCGAAGAUACGCGCAGAACCUUACCAACACUUGACAUGUUCGUCGCGACUCUAAGAGAUUAGAGUUUUCGGUUCGGCCGGACGAAACACAGGUGCUGCAUGGCUGUCGUCAGCUCGUGUCGUGAGAUGUUGGGUUAAGUCCCGCAACGAGCGCAACCCUCACUUUUAGUUGCCAUCAUUAAGUUGGGCACUCUGAAAGAACUGCCAGUGAUAAGCUGGAGGAAGGUGGGGAUGACGUCAAGUCCUCAUGGCCCUUACGUGUUGGGCUACACACGUGCUACAAUGGUAUCUACAACAGGAAGCAAGACUGCGAAGUUAAGCAAAUCCCUAAAAGAUACCUCAGUUCGGAUUGCACUCUGCAACUCGAGUGCAUGAAGCUGGAAUUACUAGUAAUCGUGGAUCAGCGUGCCACGGUGAAUGCGUUCCCGGGUCUUGUACUCACCGC